rnacentral:lncRNA from 1 species
AUGGAGGAUCUGGACCUCAAGGCACAGAGGAUGACCGUGAUGACCCUUCACAUGACACACCCAGGUGAAUCGGGCCAGACCAUUUCAUAUCCGAGCAUCUUCGUUUUGGCUAAUGUUAUGAACAGAUUGUAUCUAAUGCUUGACCGUCUGUUUAUUCUUCUUAGUAUGAACGUAGGCCUCCCAGAGUCAUCUGUGUUCCACUUCACAGGGCGUGCUGAUGGCAGCGUCUCCUGCCAGGACAAGUUACACUGGAGCAACAUGGUGCGUGGCUACCCUUCUGAGCAGUACCCUCUGAGUAUCACCCCUCCCCAGCCUCACUACUAUGUCCCUCCGUCACCCUUGUGUCCCCCUAUUGCCCCCCUGCUGCCCUGGUCAAUGCCAGGAUAUCCCCAAUGGGCCCUUACACGACCCCCCUGUCCCAGCCAGGGUCAGGCCCUCCUGCUCCCCCUGCCUCCCAGCUCUACCCAGCCCAGCAAGCAGACAGCUCACCAAAGUGAAGGGCCUAAGAGGCAGACAGCUCAGCAAGGAGAAGUGGAGACUGCGAAGCUACGCAAACACCGACGAAGCAGGGAGAGCAGACUGCAGAGGCACAGGAACAGAUGCAAAAAGUGAACACAUACACUCAAAUAAACAAUUAGCAUUGGUCAUCAAGUUUAAACGUGUAGCAUAUGCUAAUAUACUAAGAUGUCCACAAGCUGUGUGGUUGUGAGGAUGGUCAUUUUCUCAGCUUUACAAAUGCACAAACACUAUACAACCAUUAAAGACCGGCUGCUCUUAAAUAUAGCCCACAGUAUUCCUUUGAAUAUUCCUGUACAAAUAUAUGUAUAUAUCUGUUUACGCAGUUUUGUUUCAUAUGCCUCUGACUGUUUUUCUGUUUCAUCGUCUGGUGUGUUUACACCAAAUAAAUAGCACAUUUCCUAAAGGAACUUAAAUGUUUGGCAAUUUU